AGAAUAUACAAGACCGAUUCACUUUCCUGAGCUUCAGUUCAUCAUUACCUAUUCUACUGUAAACUAAACUGGCAGCCGAGUCUUCAUAAUGAAGAUCUAUUUUCUCGUUUUACUCAUCGUAGUAUUGAUGAUCGUAGAAAGUCAAGCAGGUUGCGAUGAAACAUAUUGCAAUGACAAACUUUGCCCGGCAAAUGGAUACCGCAGCGGUUUCUGUAGUGGUAACGAUUGCAUGUGUCAGUGGAAACGAAUAGCUCACACAGGGUAGAAAUAAAGAUUUCCAAUGACAAACACAAAAUGUCUGAGUAACGAAACACGUAAUAAAAUAGCAUCACAUUAAAA